CAAGUUGGGCAAGGAGUGACCGUGUUGUUGUAGAAAGAUGACAAGGAGACACAGCAGGUUGGGUUCUUUGAUGCCAGAAACUGCGAAUAAGUGCACGUCACGUUCCAUGUCACUGCAUACACAGAAAGGCUUCACCCUGCGGAAACUUAAUUUGAUAAUAUAUACAUGGCAUACAAGCUAGCGGUGUUCUUGGAUAUGAUCAGACCAACAGAAGUAGAACAAACAGAAGAUGAAAAGCAUAAACAGCUCCUCCAAAGCACACUCAAGUCAAUCAGAUAAUUCAUAAACAUGGGAAUUGAUGAAGAAGAAACUCACUCAGUGCUUGAGUUCUUCGCCUGCGAUCGACCGUGAGGAAGGCCGAGGCAGGCACUUUCCUUGCAGGGCCACAACUGUAGCCUGCUCCCGGACCGAGCAGGGUGAAAUUCUUGGGCAGUUUCACUGUUUUAUUCGAAGUUCCGGCAACACCAACACCCAUCUGGAAGGCUGAGACUGCAGCAGAGGGAUCCUGCCCCCACGACGCCAACACGCCGCCCUUGCAGCAAUUGGUAUACUGCUGGUUGUAAGGAGCUCCAGGGGUCAAAUCAACAACUUGAGGACUCCUCUUGCAACAAUGUGGAAUGUUUGCCUUGAACUUGGAGCAGUCUCCUUGCUCUGCAGCCUGAGCUCCCACCACUGUCCAUAUGAUUUCUUUCUUAGCCCAUCGCCACCCCAGAGUCCAUCCAGGGCUUAAGAUGCGCCGAUACGUUUGGAAAUUGAAAAUGCUCACUGCAGCCUGCGAGGAAUUCGGUAAGCAACAAACUGUUUGUCGAAAUGCAGAAAAUUGAAUUGGGAUUUCAGUGGUGUUUCCCUCUUUACAUUGUUUUCACAAUGUGUUGGCAUUGGAUGAGAGCAAAUUAAAACCAAUUGAAACUUGUAAUGGUGCUUACCAAAUAGCCAUCUGUAGUCCAAGACAUUAUAUCCCAUCUGAUGGUUACAUUUCCAGUGGGAUCCAAGGGAUCAUAAGCCGCUAAAAAUCACAAAAGCAAGUGCAAUACCAAAUAAACAGAUUAUUGAAUAUGGUCAUGAACAGUCGGAAAGACUCAGAAUACAGAAGAAGAAGAAAGUGCAGUUCUUGACUAGAGAAGAUCAUGAAAAACCUCACCUGCAGAAGAAAAGAUCAUGAAAAAUAGAAUGACUAAGAAUGUGUUCUUCACCGCUGCAAAUGGGCGACAGCGGGACUGGCAUUGGGGGUAAGCAUACUUUGUUUCAAAGGGAAUUUCAUGCUUUGGGCUCACAAGUUUAUUAAAUUCCAUGCCUAAAUUUCUCUGUAAAAAUUAGUGCUGUGAGAUGGCUUAACUACAGGCUGUGAGGUACUUACUCUGUGUUAUACUUUCAUCUCUCUCUUUCACUAUAUAUCUUCCUCAUGCUGACAUAUAUAUGCUUGUUUUCAGCUUUUGUGUGGUUCAGUUCCUGCAACUGGAAGCAAGAGAUUUGGUGAGAAAAGAAGGGAAGGAUGGGGGGAGAUUUUGAGAUGUUUAAACACAAUGGCUAAACGGUCAGUUCUUGGAGAGAGACUAUUGAGCACAUAAGCUGUAGAUCAUGUCAGUUUAAGCAGCAAGGACAUGUCAAGAUUGGACUGCUUAAGUUUAUGUUUCCCUUCUCUUCGCUGAACGUGAUUUAUAAUGUGAUUUAGGGGACAUCCUUUAUUCCCAAUGCUUGAGUAAGGGACCUUCUAGACAGAAUAUAAAAACAAAAAUGUCAUCUAUACAUAGAUGUGACUUUACUACGCUAAUCCUAAGCAGCAGCACCACACAGAAUAUGACAGUACCACUUCCACCCUUGGCAUGAAGAGUAAAGAUCUUCAAGUGGCAAACUCAUCCAUAUGAGGGAGGGUAGCUCUUUUCCACAUUUGAAAUAAAGUAAGGCCGCGUUUGGAAUUGGGAAUGGGAUAGAGUUGGAGAAAGUAAAUUCCAGUCUAGUCUCUGGGGAUGGUAAUUCACUCCCAUUUAUGGGUUUAAAUCACUUCAUUAGGAUUCAAGAUCAUGAGGUUAUAAAUAACGAUUUUUUUUUUUUAAUUU